AGACUCCUACGGGAGGCAGCAGUAGSGAAUCUUCCGCAAUGGACGAAAAGUCUGACGGAGCAACGCCGCGUGAGUGAUGAASGUUUUCGGAUCGUAAAGCUCUGUUGUUAGGGAAGAACAAGUGCCGUUCAAAUAGGGCGGCACCUUGACGGUACCUAACCAGAAAGCCACGGCUAACUACGUGCCAGCAGCCGCGGUAAUACGUAGGUGGCAAGCGUUGUCCGGAAUUAUUGGGCGUAAAGGGCUCGCAGGCGGUUUCUUAAGUCUGAUGUGAAAGCCCCCGGCUCAACCGGGGAGGGUCAUUGGAAACUGGGGAACUUGAGUGCAGAAGAGGAGAGUGGAAUUCCACGUGUAGCGGUGAAAUGCGUAGAGAUGUGGAGGAACACCAGUGGCGAAGGCGACUCUCUGGUCUGUAACUGACGCUGAGGAGCGAAAGCGUGGGGAGCGAACAGGAUUAGAUACCCUGGUAGUCCACGCCGUAAACGAUGAGUGCUAAGUGUUAGGGGGUUUCCGCCCCUUAGUGCUGCAGCUAACGCAUUAAGCACUCCGCCUGGGGAGUACGGUCGCAAGACUGAAACUCAAAGGAAUUGACGGGGGCCCGCACAAGCGGUGGAGCAUGUGGUUUAAUUCGAAGCAACGCGAAGAACCUUACCAGGUCUUGACAUCCUCUGACAAUCCUAGAGAUAGGACGUCCCCUUCGGGGGCAGAGUGACAGGUGGUGCAUGRUUGUCGUCAGCUCGUGUCGUGAGAUGUUGGGUUAAGUCCCGCAACGAGCGCAACCCWUGAUCUUAGUUGCCAGCAUUCAGUUGGKCACUCUAASGUGACUKSCGGUGAC
rnacentral:rRNA from 1 species